GGGAGGAUGGCGCAGUGGUAAGAGCGCUCUCCUGGCUGGCCAGUUGAACUGCACCACUGCUGGCAGUGGGUUUGAAUCCUGCUCCCCUCA